CAUUCGGCGGAGUGUACACCUAACCCUAACCAUGUACUCCUUCCGUACCCAGUGAUUGCUGUUUUCGGUCUCGGGCUUUUAAGCAAUCUAUGGAAGGUUACCCCCUGACGGAUUAAGAGCCAAAUCAGACGGGCGACAAACAGUCCCGAGAAAUACACUCCGUCGAGUUCAGGUCCCCAUGGGGAAAGCACCGCGGAUGCACGCCGUGGUCAGCUUGGCUGCCGCGAAGAGUUAGUCUCUGCUGCUCCGAUGGCUUCCCACCGGGGAGGAAUGUUGGCCACUGAACAGAUUAACCUGAGCGGAGGCAGUACCGCCGAACCUUUCAAUGGUCCGGUUGUGGAGCCUAAGCUCAAACAUUU
rnacentral:sRNA from 1 species